UACGUAGGGGGCUAGCGUUGUCCGGAAUCAUUGGGCGUAAAGCGCGUGUAGGCGGCUCGGUAAGUCCGCUGUGAAAGUCGGGGGCUCAACCCUGGGAUGCCGGUGGAUACUGCAGGGCUAGAGUACGGAAGAGGCGAGUGGAAUUCCCGGUGUAGCGGUGAAAUGCGCAGAUAUCGGGAGGAACACCUAUUGCGAAGGCAGCUCGCUGGGACGUUACUGACGCUGAGACGCGAAAGCGUGGGGAGCAAACAGG
rnacentral:rRNA from 1 species